rnacentral:rRNA from 1 species
GACGAACGCUGGUGGCGUGCUUAACACAUGCAAGUCGAACGGGAUUUAGUAAACAGAAGCCUCGGUGGAAGAUUACUAAUGAGAGUGGCGAACGGGUGAGUAACGCGUGAGCAACCUGCCUAUGACAGUGGGAUAGCCUCGGGAAACCGGGAUUAAUACCGCAUAAAAUCGUAGAAACACAUGUUUUAACGGUCAAAGAUUUAUCGGUCAUAGAUGGGCUCGCGUCUGAUUAGCUAGUUGGUGAGAUAACAGCCCACCAAGGCGACGAUCAGUAGCCGGUCUGAGAGGAUGAACGGCCACAUUGGAACUGAGACACGGUCCAAACUCCUACGGGAGGCAGCAGUGGGGAAUAUUGCACAAUGGGGGAAACCCUGAUGCAGCGACGCCGCGUGAACGAAGAAGGUAUUCGUAUCGUAAAGUUCUGUCCUAUGGGAAGAUAAUGACAGUAACAUAGAAGAAAGCUCCGGCUAAAUACGUG